CACGUAGGGCGCGAGCGUUGUCCGGAAUUAUUGGGCGUAAAGAGCUCGUAGGCGGCCUGUUGCGUCCGCUGUGAAAGCCCGGGGCUUAACCCCGGGCUCUGCAGUGGAUACGGGCAGGCUAGAGGUAGGUAGGGGAGAAUGGAAUUCCCGGUGUAGCGGUGAAAUGCGCAGAUAUCGGGAGGAGCACCAGUGGCGAAGGCGGCUCACUGGCCCGAUACUGACGCUGAGGCACGAAAGCGUGGGGAGCAAACAGG
rnacentral:rRNA from 1 species